rnacentral:rRNA from 1 species
ACGGGUGCGUAACACGUAUGUAACCUACCUUAGUCAGGGGGAUAGCCUCUCGAAAGAGAGAUUAAGACCGCAUAACAUAUUGAAGUGGCAUCGCUUUAAUAUCAAAUAUUUAUAGGACUAAGAUGGGCAUGCGCAACAUUAGCUAGUUGGUGUGGUAACGGCAUACCAAGGCGACGAUGUUUAGGGGAUCUGAGAGGAUGACCCCCCACACUGGUACUGAGACACGGACCAGACUCAUACGGGAGGCAGCAGUAAGGAAUAUUGGUCAAUGGACGGAAGUCUGAACCAGCCAUGCCGCGUGCAGGAAGACGGCCCUACGGGUUGUAAACUGCUUUUGCAGGGGAAUAAACCCCGGUUCGUGAACCGGGUUGAAUGUACCUUGAGAAUAAGGAUCGGCUAACUCCGUGCCAGCAGCCGCGGUAAUACGGAGGAUCCAAGCGUUAUCCGGAUUUAUUGGGUUUAAAGGGGCGUAGGCGGCUUUUUAAGUCAGGGGUGAAAGACGGUAGCUCAACUAUCGCAGUGCCCUUGAUACUGAAGAGCUUGAAUGUACUUGAGGUAGGCGGAAUGUGACAAGUAGCGGUGAAAUG